AGAGCAGAGAAGGGUGGGAAGGGGGCAGGGGAAAGAAGGACCCUGGCCUGGGGGUCAGGCCUCCUGGUUCAAAUCCCAGACUCAUCACCAGCCUCCUGGGGAACCUGGGGCCAUGUUACCCCUCUCUGAGCUCCUCCCUAUCUGGGCCCUUGAAGGGGCUCUGCCCCAGUUUUGAGGGGCAGAGGACCCCUCUUCCAGGCUCAGGGUCAGAGCUGGCUUCUCCAGAGUUGGCAAGUUGGCAAGGAAGAAGAGACCACUCACCCGUAAUUUCAACAGCAACAAAAGACCUGAGGUUCCACCAUCAGAACUUCACGCCCUAAGGAAGAUGCAGCAUUUCCUGUAAAAUGCAAGUGCUCCCAGGCAGAGGUAGCUCCUGAAGCCAUGAUCAGUUAUGUAUACCUUAGUGGCAGCUGAUUAAUAGACCCUUCCCAAGAGCCAGCUGACAGGAAGCACAUCGGGGUAAAAGAGAAGAUGAAAACUUGGGUGCCUGGAGGAAGGGAACAAAUGCGAGCAGGAGCAUGGUAAUAACAUAGAGCCAGAUUUGAUUUCGUGGUUUUCUUUCUCCUCUUCUGGGAUUUUGUGCCCUAUUGCCACAGAAACCCUGGGCCCCUUCCCCAGCUGUCAUGAAGGUGCCUGAGUGAUGGUCAGAGAGAUGACCGGAGGGGCCCACCCGGCCACCGCAGCAGCAGCAGCCAAGGCGGGACUAAGCCUCCACACCCCACAUCUCAUUCGUGGCCAGCCCGGGAUGCCUGCCUCUCCUGCCCUGUGGUGUUGCUGUCCUCAUAUGACCCUUCAGCCCCCGACAUCUGGACAGGCUUUAGGGACCUGCUUGAGCAGAACAUGGUAGAAGUGAUGGACUGGGGCUUCUGAGGCUAAGCCAUAAGAAACCUUGAGAAUUUCACCUGGCCCUCACUGUCUCUGGGAGCCCUGAGCCAUGAUAGAAGAAGUCCUUCCUAUAUUGAAUGUCCUUGAGACCUCCAGUACUGGAAAGGGCAUGUGUAGAUGCUCAGACCAACAGUCCAAACUGAGCCCAGUCUGCCAUCUUGCCCUGCCAAGGUGUCAGAUGCAUAUGUGAAUGAGACCAUCCUAGACCUGCUGAUAGCCCAUCACCCGGCUGACUGCUACUGAGUAACCUCUGCCAACUUCACGCCGAACACAGAACUGCCGAUUUGAACUCUGCCUGAAUUUCUUGGCCCACAGAACAAUGAGAUAUAAUUAAAAGGCAAUGGUUCAAGCC